AUUGAACGCUGGCGGCAUGCCUUACACAUGCAAGUCGAACGGCAGCACGGGUGCUUGCCCCUGGUGGCGAGUGGCGAACGGGGGAGUAAUACAUCGGAACAUGUCCUGUAGUGGGGGAUAGCCCGGCGAAAGCCGGAUUAAUACCGCAUACGAUCUACGGAUGAAAGCGGGGGACCUUCGGGCCUCGCGCUAUAGGGUUGGCCGAUGGCUGAUUAGCUAGUUGGUGGGGUAAAGGCCUACCAAGGCGACGAUCAGUAGCUGGUCUGAGAGGACGACCAGCCACACUGGGACUGAGACACGGCCCAGACUCCUACGGGAGGCAGCAGUGGGGAAUUUUGGACAAUGGGCGAAAGCCUGAUCCAGCAAUGCCGCGUGUGUGAAGAAGGCCUUCGGGUUGUAAAGCACUUUUGUCCGGAAAGAAAUCCUUGGCCCUAAUACGGUCGGGGGAUGACGGUACCGGAAGAAUAAGCACCGGCUAACUACGUG
rnacentral:rRNA from 1 species